rnacentral:rRNA from 1 species
CAGUAGCCACGGUAAUACAGAGGGUGCGAGCGUUAAUCGGAUUUACUGGGCGUAAAGCGUGCGUAGGCGGCUUUUUAAGUCGGAUGUGAAAUCCCUGAGCUUAACUUAGGAAUUGCAUUCGAUACUGGGAAGCUAGAGUAUGGGAGAGGAUGGUAGAAUUCCAGGUGUAGCGGUGAAAUGCGUAGAGAUCUGGAGGAAUACCGAUGGCGAAGGCAGCCAUCUGGCCUAACACUGACGCUGAGGUACGAAAGCAUGGGGAGCAAACAGGAUUAGAGACCCCAGUAGUCCCUGUCUCUUAUAA